GUGUUUUGUGAAAGUAAAGAAAUAGGUUAACAGUCCCCAUGACAAGAAUGGAAAACAUUCUCGGGACCUAUACCACACAUACACAUUUAAAGUAUCACUUAGU
rnacentral:ncRNA from 1 species